rnacentral:rRNA from 1 species
UUGGUCAAACCGACGAAUGCGCGCAUUCGACUGGGGCGUCGCGCCGCCGCCGCGGCGCGUCCCUCGAAGUGCCACCGAAGUGAGCAAGCCGCCGUGCGAACAAGGCCUAAAGUGCGUGCGUCGUCUCGACCUUGCCAGCACGACGAAGGCGCUUCGGAAAACCUCUCAUCGACCGUUCUUAAUUAACCU